AUGACUCGAGGAGCAGUGAACCCAAACGGGGUCCAGGUUCAGGCUAAAUGGAUACCUCCGCCGACGGGAAUGGCGAAGAUCAGAGUUGAUGGAGCAACUGCGAGAGAUACUCCCGAGGGUACGUUCAGUGUUGUGUGCAGGGAUGAUACGGGAGUCUUCCUAGGAGCCUCGGUGAUCAAGAUUCCAGGAGUGGUGGAUCCGGCUACUCUCGAAGCCUUGGCGUGUCGUGAGGCGCUUGCCCUAGGGUCGGACCUGCAUCUUUCCUGCCUUGUUAUUGCUUCGGACUGCCAGGGUGUAAUCAGAGACAUCAAAGAAGGCACAGGAGGAUUAUAUGCUAGUACUAUCAUGGAGAUCAAGGAGACGGCACAGGUUUUUGAUCAAUGCACCUUCAUCUUUGAGGGCAGAUCGAUAAAUAUCGAGGCACAUAGCCUCGCUAAACACGCUUUCGGACUAGAUUAUGGGCGCCAUAUGUGGCUUAUAAAUCCACCAGACAUUCGUUGUAUCCCUAUGGACUUCUAUGAUCAAUAA
rnacentral:rRNA from 1 species